rnacentral:rRNA from 1 species
CUAAGGUAGCGAAAUUCCUUGUCGGGUAAGUUCCGACCUGCACGAAUGGCGUAACGAUGGCGGCGCUGUCUCCACCCGAGACUCAGUGAAAUUGAAAUCGCUGUGAAGAUGCAGUGUAUCCGCGGCUAGACGGAAAGACCCCGUGAACCUUUACUGUAGCUUUGCACUGGACUUUGAGCCUGCUUGUGUAGGAUAGGUGGGAGGCUUUGAAGCGUGGACGCCAGUUCGCGUGGAGCCAUCCUUGAAAUACCACCCUGGCAUGCUUGAGGUUCUAACUCUGGUCCGUAAUCCGGAUCGAGGACAGUGUAUGGUGGGCAGUUUGACUGGGGCGGUCUCCUCCUAAAGAGUAACGGAGGAGUACGAAGGUGCGCUCAGACCGGUCGGAAAUCGGUCGCAGAGUAUAAAGGCAAAAGCGCGCUUGACUGCGAGACAGACACGUCGAGCAGGUACGAAAGUAGGUCUUAGUGAUCCGGUGGUUCUGUAUGGAAGGGCCAUCGCUCAACGGAUAAAAGGUACUCCGGGGAUAACAGGCUGAUACCGCCCAAGAGUUCAUAUCGACGGCGGUGUUUGGCACCUCGAUGUCGGCUCAUCACAUCCUGGGGCUGAAGCCGGUCCCAAGGGUAUGGCUGUUCGCCAUUUAAAGUGGUACGCGAGCUGGGUUUAGAACGUCGUGAGACAGUUCGGUCCCUAUCUGCCGUGGACGUUUGAGAUUUGAGAGGGGCUGCUCCUAGUACGAGAGGACCGGAGUGGACGAACCUCUGGUGUUCCGGUUGUCACGCCAGUGGCAUUGCCGGGUAGCUAUGUUCGGAAAAGAUAACCGCUGAAAGCAUCUAAGCGGGAAACUUGCCUCAAGAUGAGAUCUCACUGGGAACUUGAUUCCCCUGAAGGGCCGUCGAAGACUACGACGUUGAUAGGCUGGGUGUGUAAGCGUUGUGAGGCGUUGAGCUAACCAGUACUAAUUGCCCGUGAGGCUUGACCAU